UUAACCACAAAGGAUGGACAGAGUACCCAUUGGAUGGUACAUUUCCAGGCUGUGCUAAACCAGCCAGAACCAUUAACACAUACUGAGGAAUGUGAAGACAUAGUGGUCUUAUCUAUACCACUACAAGUAAUCACCUCGGAGGAAGGAACUAAGGCUAUAAACCAGCUGAAGAGUGUUAAAGCACCAGGCUAGGAUAAAACAAAUGCUGAAAUGUUAAAUGCUGGGGAGGAAGUGCUGGUGAAUUACAUGUGCAGGCAGUUGGAGUGGUCUGGAGAAGGGACACCUCUUCUCCAAUCUUUGGACAGGUGUUAUCUGCAAAAUCCCUGAAAAGGUAGAACAGCUUAUUUGUGAUAACUAGAGAAGGGUGAUACUCCUAGCUGUACCUGGGAAAGUGUUUUGUAUUAUCAUUUUGAAUGGGAUGAAAACUGCUUUUGAUAAAGUACUCAGAGAAGAACAGGCUGGAUUUCAAUCUGGUAGGUCAUGUUCGGAACAGAUUUUCACCUUGAGAAGACUCAAGGCUUAGAAUACCAGAAGAGUAUAGUUUUAAACAGCCUUGAUUUUAUUGAAGUAUUUGAUAGCAUGCACAGAGAUGCCCUCUGGAAGAUCUUGAGACACUAUGAAGUUCCAGCAAAGACUGUUAAUUUGAUAAAAGCUUUGUAUGGCGAGGUUGCAUCAGGACCAAAAGUAGAGUCACAGAAUGGUUUAAGAGUAUUACUGGCAUAAGGCAAGGUUGCAUAUUUUCUCUACUUGGCUUCUGUAUUGUCAUAGAUUUUGUGAUAAGACUGACAGCUACUGACGAGAACACUAGUAUUGUUUAGGCAAGAAAUAGGCUGCAAGACUUAGAUUUUGCAGACAAUAUAGUCAUGCUGGAUACCAACCGGGAUGGAAUGAAAGGACUCUUUCUGAAUCUAAAAGCAGAAGCAGCCAAAGUGGGACUUUGUAUCUGUAUACAGAAGACCAAAAUCAUGGAGAUAGGAGAGAAUGCUAUCAACACUGGCAGAUGUGUGAUUGAUGGAGAAGAGUACAAAAGAAUUAAUGACUUAAUCUAUUUUGGAAGUACAAUAUCUGCUAAUGGCCAUCUCACUAAAGAUGUGAAGGUAAGAAUUGGCAAAGCCAGAGGAUCAUUUUCCCAUGUGUCAAACGUCUGGAAGAGUAAGACACAUCUACACACAAAAAUGAGAUUGUACAGUUCUAUUGUGCGAAAGAUCAUGUAACCAAUGUGGAAGUGUUGCAUCACAUGGGUCAGCAGACUGAGGACUCAGUGAUUCAUAGAUGCCAAGGGCAGAGGAGACCAUUGUGAUCAUCUAAUCUGCCUUCCUGUAUAACACAGGCCAUAGAAGUUACAUUUUAGAAAAACAUCCAAUCUUGAAUUAAAAAUUGUCAGUGAUGGAGAAUCCACCAGGACCUUUGUGACCAGAUAGAGACUGGUUUGGCCAUACCAUCAGGUAACCCCGUGGCAUAAGCACAAGCAGGAUGAAAAUGACGUAGAGUGGAAUGCAGAUCAUGGAAGAGAAAGCCAUCAACCAGCCCAGAGCGUAGCCCCACGGAGGGUACACGUACCAGUUGUUGUAUGUGAGGGGGGUGUACUUGAUCAGUGAAAAUAGGAAGGUCGCCUGAGGAAUGAAGAACAUAAGUCAGAACAGCAGGCAAACACCAGGGGUGACAAACUGCCAGCACAUCUUAAUCAGCGGCCACGGCCGAUAACCAAUCAUGUCCUCGAUGUUGUCAUAGAAACGGUCCGCACCUUGACCACCAGAGGAAGGGACAGAGAAAGAGAG